AUACGGAGGGUGCGAGCGUUAAUCGGAAUUACUGGGCGUAAAGCGUACGUAGGCGGUUGGUUAAGUUAGAUGUGAAAGCCCCGGGCUUAACCUGGGAACUGCAUUUAAAACUGGCGAACUAGAGUUGAGUAGAGGGGAGUGGAAUUUCAGGUGUAGCGGUGAAAUGCGUAGAGAUCUGAAGGUACACCAGUGGCGAAGGCGACUCCCUGGACUCGAACUGACGCUGAGGUACGAAAGCGUGGGUAGCAAACGGGAUUAGAAACCCCAGUAGUCC
rnacentral:rRNA from 1 species